CCUACGGGUGACAGCAGUGAGGAAUAUUGGUCAAUGGACGGAAGUCUGAACCAGCCAUGUAGCGUGCAGGAAGACGGCUCUAUGAGUUGUAAACUGCUUUUGUACAAGGGUAAACCUGUAUACGUGUAUUCAGCUGAAAGUACUAUAUGAAUAAGGAUCGGCUAACUCCGUGCCAGCAGCCGCGGUAAUACGGAGGAUCCGAGCGUUAUCCGGAUUUAUUGGGGUUAAAGGGUGCGUAGGCGGAUUGUUAAGUUAGAGGUGAAAUUUUGGGGCUUAACCCGGGAACUGCAGUUAAUACUGGUGAUCUUGAGUGUAGUAGCGGUAGGCGGAA
rnacentral:rRNA from 1 species